GAUGAACGCUAGCUACAGGCUUAACACAUGCAAGUCGAGGGGAAACGCUGAGAGAGCUUGCUCUCUUAGGCGUCGACCGGCGCACGGGUGAGUAACGCGUAUCCAACCUACCCAUUACAGGGGGAUAACCUUGCGAAAGUAAGACUAAUACCCCAUGGCAUUUUAUGGUGGCAUCAUUAUAGGAUUAAAGAUUUAUUGGUAAUGGAUGGGGAUGCGUCUGAUUAGCUUGUUGGCGGGGUAACGGCCCACCAAGGCAACGAUCAGUAGGGGUUCUGAGAGGAAGGUCCCCCACAUUGGAACUGAGACACGGUCCAAACUCCUACGGGAGGCAGCAGUGAGGAAUAUUGGUCAAUGGGCGAGAGCUUGAACCAGCCAAGUAGCGUGCAGGAUGACGGCCCUAUGGGUUGUAAACUGCUUUUAGAGGGGAAUAAAGUGAGCUACGUGUAGUUUAUUGCAUGUACCCUAUGAAUAAGGACCGGCUAAUUCCGUG
rnacentral:rRNA from 1 species